UUGUAAUAUUCUGGGUCUAGG
rnacentral:siRNA from 1 species